rnacentral:rRNA from 1 species
ACACAGUGAGGAUUGACAGAUUGAGAGCUCUUUCUUGAUUCUGUGGUGGUGGUGCAUGGUCCGUUUUUAGUUGGUGGAGUAAUUUGUCUGGUUAAUUCCGUUAACGAACGAGACCUUAACCUAUUAAAUAGUCGUGGGAACCCAGGUCUUUCAUCCUCUUUCUCAGCAAUGGGGGGGAGGAAACCAUUAUCAUGUUGGUACCCUCUGGGUAUCGCGUGGUAGUGGUGAGGAUCUGAUAGUGUUCUUAUAGGCUUCUUAGAGGGACUCUUUGCAUCUUUAGCAAAUGGAAGUUUGAGGCAAAAACAGGUCUGUGAUGCCCUUCGAUGUUCUGGGCUGCACGCGCGUUACAAUGACGCAUGCAACGAGUUAUUAAAUUCCUGGCCCGAUGGGGUUGGGUAAUCUUUUUAAAGUGCGUCGUGAUGGGGAUAGAGCAUUGCAAUUAUUGUUCUUGAACGAGGAAUUCCUAGUAAUUGCAGGUCAUCAACCUGCGAUGAUUACGUCCCUGCCCUUUGUACACACCGCCC